UACGUAGGGGGCGAGCGUUGUCCGAAGUUACUGGGCGUAAAGCGCGCGUAGGCGGCUUUUUAAGUCUGGGGUGAAAGGUUCUGCGCUUAACGUGAACAGUGCCCUGGAGACUGGAAGGCUUGAGUGUGGGAGGGGGCAGUGGAAUUCCUGGUGUAGCGGUGAAAUGCGCAGAUAUCAGGAGGAACACCAAUGGCGAAGGCGGCUCACUGGCCCGGUACUGACGCUGAGGUGCGAAAGCGUGGGGAGCAAACAGG
rnacentral:rRNA from 1 species